GACGAACCGUCCUAACGUUGUUCGGAAUCACUGGGCUUAAAGGGCGCGUAGGCGGACCCGCCCGUCCGGGGUGAAAGCUUUCGGCUCAACCGGAAAAGUGCCUUGGAAACUGCGGGUCUGGAGGGAGGUAGGGGCAUGUGGAACUUCUGGUGGAGCGGUGAAAUGCGUUGAUAUCAGAAGGAACGCCGGUGGCGAAAGCGACGUGCUGGAUCUCUACUGACGCUGAGGCGCGAAAGCCAGGGGAGCAAACGGG
rnacentral:rRNA from 1 species